rnacentral:rRNA from 1 species
AGACCCGAAACCCGGUGAUCUAGCCAUGGGCAGGUUGAAGGUUGGGUAACACUAACUGGAGGACCGAACCGACUAAUGUUGAAAAAUUAGCGGAUGACCUGUGGCUGGGGGUGAAAGGCCAAUCAAACCGGGAGAUAGCUGGUUCUCCCCGAAAGCUAUUUAGGUAGCGCCUCGUGAAUUCAUCUCCGGGGGUAGAGCACUGUUUCGGCUAGGGGGCCAUCCCGGCUUACCAACCCGAUGCAAACUGCGAAUACCGGAGAAUGUUAUCACGGGAGACACACGGCGGGUGCUAACGUCCGUCGUGAAGAGGGAAACAACCCAGACCGCCAGCUAAGGUCCCAAAGUCAUGGUUAAGUGGGAAACGAUGUGGGAAGGCCCAGACAGCCAGGAUGUUGGCUUAGAAGCAGCCAUCAUUUAAAGAAAGCGUAAUAGCUCACUGGUCGAGUCGGCCUGCGCGGAAGAUGUAACGGGGCUAAACCAUGCACCGAAGCUGCGGCAGCGACACUGUGUGUUGUUGGGUAGGGGAGCGUUCUGUAAGCCUGUGAAGGUGGCCUGUGAGGGUUGCUGGAGGUAUCAGAAGUGCGAAUGCUGACAUAAGUAACGAUAAAGCGGGUGAAAAGCCCGCUCGCCGGAAGACCAAGGGUUCCUGUCCAACGUUAAUCGGGGCAGGGUGAGUCGACCCCUAAGGCGAGGCCGAAAGGCGUAGUCGAUGGGAAACAGGUUAAUAUUCCUGUACUUGGUGUUACUGCGAAGGGGGGACGGAGAAGGCUAUGUUGGCCGGGCGACGGUUGUCCCGGUUUAAGCGUGUAGGCUGGUUUUCCAGGCAAAUCCGGAAAAUCAAGGCUGAGGCGUGAUGACGAGGCACUACGGUGCUGAAGCAACAAAUGCCCUGCUUCCAGGAAAAGCCUCUAAGCAUCAGGUAACAUCAAAUCGUACCCCAAACCGACACAGGUGGUCAGGUAGAGAAUACCAAGGCGCUUGAGAGAACUCGGGUGAAGGAACUAGGCAAAAUGGUGCCGUAACUUCGGGAGAAGGCACGCUGACACGUAGGUGAAGUGAUUUACUCACGGAGCUGAAGUCAGUCGAAGAUACCAGCUGGCUGCAACUGUUUAUUAAAAACACAGCACUGUGCAAACACGAAAGUGGACGUAUACGGUGUGACGCCUGCCCGGUGCCGGAAGGUUAAUUGAUGGGGUCAGCGCAAGCGAAGCUCCUGAUCGAAGCCCCGGUAAACGGCGGCCGUAACUAUAACGGUCCUAAGGUAGCGAAAUUCCUUGUCGGGUAAGUUCCGACCUGCACGAAUGGCGUAAUGAUGGCCAGGCUGUCUCCACCCGAGACUCAGUGAAAUUGAACUCGCUGUGAAGAUGCAGUGUACCCGCGGCAAGACGGAAAGACCCCGUGAACCUUUACUAUAGCUUGACACUGAACAUUGAGCCUUGAUGUGUAG